rnacentral:rRNA from 1 species
UGGGGAAUUUUGGACAAUGGGCGAAAGCCUGAUCCAGCAAUGCCGCGUGUGUGAAGAAGGCCUUCGGGUUGUAAAGCACUUUUGUCCGGAAAGAAAUCCUUGGCUCUAAUACAGUCGGGGGAUGACGGUACCGGAAGAAUAAGCACCGGCUAACUACGUGCCAGCAGCCGCGGUAAUACGUAGGGUGCAAGCGUUAACCGGAAUUACUGGGCGUAAAGCGUGCGCAGGCGGUUUGCUAAGACCGAUGUGAAAUCCCCGGGCUCAACCUGGGAACUGCAUUGGUGACUGGCAGGCUAGAGUAUGGCAGAGGGGGGUAGAAUUCCACGUGUAGCAGUGAAAUGCGUAGAGAUGUGGAGGAAUACCGAUGGCGAAGGCAGCCCCCUGGGCCAAUACUGACGCUCAUGCACGAAAGCGUGGGGAGCAAACAGGAUUAGAUACCCUGGUAGUCCACGCCCUAAACGAUGUCAACUAGUUGUUGGGGAUUCAUUUCCUUAGUAACGUAGCUAACGCGUGAAGUUGACCGCCUGGGGAGUACGGUCGCAAGAUU